GGGGUUACUAGAGGAGAGAGAGAGAGAGAGGUGGGGUUACUAGAGGAGAGAGAGAGAGGUGGGGUUACUAGAGGAGAGAGAGAGAGAGAGAUGGGGUUACUAGAGGUAAAGAGAGAGAGGUGGGGUUACUAGAGGGAGGGAGAGAGAGAGGUGGGGUUACUAGAGGGAGAGAGAAAGAGAGGUGGGGUUACUAGAGGUAAAGAGAGAGAGAGAGAGGUGGGGUUACUAGAGGUAAAGAGAGAGAGAGAGAGAGAGAGAGGUGGGGUUACUAGAGGAGAGAGAGAGAGAGGUGGGGUUACUAGAGGAGAGAGAGAGAGGUGGGGUUUACUAGAGGAGAGAGAGAGAGAGGUGGGGUUUACUAGAGGAGAGAGAGAGGUGGG
ensembl:lncRNA